GCCUCAGUGGUGUAAUGGUAGUAGCACGCGUCCCUAGUAUGGAUGAAAUGCUGGUUCGAUUCCUGCCUACGGCC